rnacentral:rRNA from 1 species
CCAUGCAGCAUCUGCAUGGAGCCAUUGGACACCCACCGAGGCGGCAGCGCCUGCGCGCACGCCUUCUGCGGGGCGUGCCUGGAGGGCCACCGGUGGUGCGCCGCGCUGUGCGAGUCCAUGUUCGCCGGCGCGCGGCGGACCUACUGCCCGUUCCCGGACUGCUCCGAGAUGAUGGUGGCCGACGGCGACGACGACACCGUGACGCAGUCCGAGUGCCAGGUGUGCAGGCGGCUGUUCUGCGCGCAGUGCCGCGUGCCGUGGCACGCCGGCGCCGACUGCGCCGCGUACAGGCACCGGGACACGGCCAGGGAGGACGCGAUGCUGCUGGAGAUGGCCGCGGGGAGGAGGUGGAGGCGGUGCUCCAGGUGCCAGUUCUUCGUGGAGAAGACCGACGGCUGCUUGCACAUCACAUGCAGGUGCGGCUACCAGUUCUGCUACGGGUGUGGCUCGCAGUGGGCUACGUCUUGUUCUGGCUGC